rnacentral:rRNA from 1 species
AACGAACGCUGGCGGCAUGCCUAACACAUGCAAGUCGAACGAGAUCUUCGGGUCUAGUGGCGCACGGGUGCGUAACGCGUGGGAAUCUGCCCUUUGGUUCGGAAUAACAGUUGGAAACGACUGCUAAUACCGGAUGAUGACGAAAGUCCAAAGAUUUAUCGCCAGAGGAUGAGCCCGCGUAGGAUUAGCUAGUUGGUGUGGUAAAGGCGCACCAAGGCGACGAUCCUUAGCUGGUCUGAGAGGAUGAUCAGCCACGCUGGGACUGAGACACGGCCCAGACUCCUACGGGAGGCAGCAGUGGGGAAUAUUGGACGAUGGGCGAAAGCCUGAUCCAGCAAGGCCGCGUGAGUGGUGAAGGCCUUAGGGUUGUAAAGCUCUUUUACCAGGGAUGAUAAUGACAGUACCUGGAGAAUAAGCUCCGGCUAACUCCGUGCCAGCCGCCGCAGUAA